CAGUCGAACGAUGAUGCCCAGCUUGCUGGGUGGAUUAGUGGCGAACGGGUGAGUAACACGUGAGUAACCUGCCCCUGACUCUGGGAUAAGCGUUGGAAACGACGUCUAAUACUGGAUAUGAUCACUGGCCGCAUGGUCUGGUGGUGGAAAGAUUUUUUGGUUGGGGAUGGACUCGCGGCCUAUCAGCUUGUUGGUGAGGUAAUGGCUCACCAAGGCGACGACGGGUAGCCGGCCUGAGAGGGUGACCGGCCACACUGGGACUGAGACACGGCCCACACUCCUACGGGAGGCAGCAGUGGGGAAUAUUGCACAAUGGGCGAAAGCCUGAUGCAGCAACGCCGCGUGAGGGAUGACGGCCUUCGGGUUGUAAACCUCUUUUAGUAGGGAAGAAGCGAAAGUGACGGUACCUGCAGAAAAAGCACCGGCUAACUACGUGCCAGCAGCCGCGGUAAUACGUAGGGUGCAAGCGUUGUCCGGAAUUAUUGGGCGUACAGAGCUCGUAGGCGGUUUGUCGCGUCUGCUGUGAUAUCCCGAGGCUCAACCUCGGGCUUGCAGUGGGUACGGGCAGACUAUAGUGCGGUAGGGGAGAUUGGAAUUCCUGGUGUAGCGGUGGAAUGC
rnacentral:rRNA from 1 species